rnacentral:lncRNA from 1 species
UGCCAAAAAGGCUGAAUCAAGAGCAUCGAAUCUUGCGCCAAUAUCGUACAAGAAUCGUCCUACCCUAAGAUGAAUAGGAUUAUCGUCCGAACCUAACGCAGUCAAGGAAGGCUUACCUCUCUCUACAUCAUUACUCGUUCCUCCUUGAUCGAGUAAGGAAUUCAAGUUUAUCUCAAGCGAACCAUACCCAUCGACAGCUUCAGACCUAGCAUUAC